rnacentral:rRNA from 1 species
CGUGUAGGCGGCUUGAUAAGUCAGAUGUGAAAGCCCCGGGCUUAACCCGGGAAGUGCAUUUGAAACUGUCUUGCUUGAGUAGGGGAGAGGGAAGUGGAAUUCCUGGUGUAGAGGUGAAAUUCGUAGAUAUCAGGAGGAACACCGGUGGCGAAGGCGACUUCCUGGCCCUAUACUGACGCUGAGACGCGAGAGCGUGGGUAGCAAACA